rnacentral:rRNA from 1 species
CAUAGGUUAAUGAGGCGAACCGGGGGAACUGAAACAUCUAAGUACCCCGAGGAAAAGAAAUCAACCGAGAUUCCCCCAGUAGCGGCGAGCGAACGGGGAGGAGCCCAGAGCCUGAAUCAGUGUGUGUGUUAGUGGAAGCGUCUGGAAAGGCGCGCGAUACAGGGUGACAGCCCCGUACACAAAAAUGCACAUACUGUGAGCUCGAUGAGUAGGGCGGGACACGUGGUAUCCUGUCUGAAUAUGGGGGGACCAUCCUCCAAGGCUAAAUACUCCUGACUGACCGAUAGUGAACCAGUACCGUGAGGGAAAGGCGAAAAGAACCCCGGCGAGGGGAGUGAAAAAGAACCUGAAACCGUGUACGUACAAGCAGUGGGAGCCUCUUAAUGGGGUGACUGCGUACCUUUUGUAUAAUGGGUCAGCGACUUAUAUUCUGUAGCAAGGUUAACCGAAUAGGGGAGCCGAAGGGAAACCGAGUCUUAACUGGGCGUUAAGUUGCAGGGUAUAGACCCGAAACCCGGUGAUCUAGCCAUGGGCAGGUUGAAGGUUGGGUAACACUAACUGGAGGACCGAACCGACUAAUGUUGAAAAAUUAGCGGAUGACUUGUGGCUGGGGGUGAAAGGCCAAUCAAACCGGGAGAUAGCUGGUUCUCCCCGAAAGCUAUUUAGGUAGCGCCUCGUGAAUUCAUCUCCGGGGGUAGAGCACUGUUUCGGCAAGGGGGUCAUCCCGACUUACCAACCCGAUGCAAACUGCGAAUACCGGAGAAUGUUAUCACGGGAGACACACGGCGGGUGCUAACGUCCGUCGUGAAGAGGGAAACAACCCAGACCGCCAGCUAAGGUCCCAAAGUCAUGGUUAAGUGGGAAACGAUGUGGGAAGGCCCAGACAGCCAGGAUGUUGGCUUAGAAGCAGCCAUCAUUUAAAGAAAGCGUAAUAGCUCACUGGUCGAGUCGGCCUGCGCGGAAGAUGUAACGGGGCUAAACCAUGCACCGAAGCUGCGGCAGCGACGCUUAUGCGUUGUUGGGUAGGGGAGCGUUCUGUAAGCCUGUGAAGGUGGCCUGUGAGGGUUGCUGGAGGUAUCAGAAGUGCGAAUGCUGACAUAAGUAACGAUAAAGCGGGUGAAAAGCCCGCUCGCCGGAAGACCAAGGGUUCCUGUCCAACGUUAAUCGGGGCAGGGUGAGUCGACCCCUAAGGCGAGGCCGAAAGGCGUAGUCGAUGGGAAACAGGUUAAUAUUCCUGUACUUGGUGUUACUGCGAAGGGGGGACGGAGAAGGCUAUGUUGGCCGGGCGACGGUUGUCCCGGUUUAAGCGUGUAGGCUGGU